AUUGAACGCUGGCGGCAGGCCUAACACAUGCAAGUCGAGCGGAUGAAGGGAGCUUGCUCCUGGAUUCAGCGGCGGACGGGUGAGUAAUGCCUAGGAAUCUGCCUGGUAGUGGGGGAUAACGUCCGGAAACGGGCGCUAAUACCGCAUACGUCCUGAGGGAGAAAGUGGGGGAUCUUCGGACCUCACGCUAUCAGAUGAGCCUAGGUCGGAUUAGCUAGUUGGUGGGGUAAAGGCCUACCAAGGCGACGAUCCGUAACUGGUCUGAGAGGAUGAUCAGUCACACUGGAACUGGGGCACGGUCCAGACUCCUACGGGAGGCAGCAGUGGGGAAUAUUGGACAAUGGGCGAAAGCCUGAUCCAGCCAUGCCGCGUGUGUGAAGAAGGUCUUCGGAUUGUAAAGCACUUUAAGUUGGGAGGAAGGGCAGUAAGUUAAUACCUUGCUGUUUUGACGUUACCAACAGAAUAAGCACCGGCUAACUUCGUG
rnacentral:rRNA from 1 species